rnacentral:rRNA from 1 species
UACGAAGGGGGCUAGCGUUGCUCGGAAUCACUGGGCGUAAAGCGCACGUAGGCGGCUUUCUAAGUCAGGGGUGAAAUCCUGGAGCUCAACUCCAGAACUGCCUUUGAUACUGGAGAGCUUGAGUCCGGAAGAGGUGAGUGGAACUCCCGAGUGUAGAGGUGAAAUUCGUAGAUAUUCGGAAGAACACCAGUGGCGAAGGCGGGC